GAUGAACGCUGGCGGCGUGCCUAAUACAUGCAAGUCGAGCGAAUGGAUUGAGAGCUUGCUCUUAUGAAGUUAGCGGCGGACGGGUGAGUAACACGUGGGUAACCUGCCCAUAAGACUGGGAUAACUCCGGGAAACCGGGGCUAAUACCGGAUAACAUUUUGAACCGCAUGGUUCGAGAUUGAAAGGCGGCUUCGGCUGUCACUUAUGGAUGGACCCGCGUCGCAUUAGCUAGUUGGUGAGGUAACGGCUCACCAAGGCAACGAUGCGUAGCCGACCUGAGAGGGUGAUCGGCCACACGGGGACUGGGACACGGCCCAGACUCCUACGGGAGGCAGCAGUAGGGAAUCUUCCGCAAUGGACGAAAGUCUGACGGAGCAACGCCGCGUGAGCGAUGAAGGCUUUCGGGUCGUAAAACUCUGUUGUUAGGGAAGAACAAGUGCUAGUUGAAUAAGCUGGCACCUUGACGGUACCUAACCAGAAAGCCACGGCUAACUACGUGCCAGCCGCCGCCGUAA
rnacentral:rRNA from 1 species